GACGAACGCUGGCGGCGUGCUUAACACAUGCAAGUCGAGCGGUAAGGCCUUUCGGGGUACACGAGCGGCGAACGGGUGAGUAACACGUGGGUGAUCUGCCCUGCACUUCGGGAUAAGCCUGGGAAACUGGGUCUAAUACCGGAUAUGACCUCCUAUCGCAUUGUGGGUGGUGGAAAGAUUUAUCGGUGCAGGAUGGGCCCGCGGCCUAUCAGCUUGUUGGUGGGGUAAUGGCCUACCAAGGCGACGACGGGUAGCCGACCUGAGAGGGUGACCGGCCACACUGGGACUGAGACACGGCCCAGACUCCUACGGGAGGCAGCAGUGGGGAAUAUUGCACAAUGGGCGAAAGCCUGAUGCAGCGACGCCGCGUGAGGGAUGACGGCCUUCGGGUUGUAAACCUCUUUCAGCAGGGACGAAGCGCAAGUGACGGUACCUGAAGAAGAAGCACCGGCUAACUACGUG
rnacentral:rRNA from 1 species